rnacentral:rRNA from 1 species
UACGGAGGGUGCAAGCGUUAUCCGGAUUCACUGGGUUUAAAGGGUGCGUAGGUGGGUUGGUAAGUCAGUGGUGAAAUCCCCGAGCUUAACUUGGGAACUGCCAUUGAUACUAUUAAUCUUGAAUACCGUGGAGGUUAGCGGAAUAUGUCAUGUAGCGGUGAAAUGCUUAGAUAUGACAUAGAACACCAAUUGCGAAGGCAGCUUACUACACAGUUAUUGACGCUGAGGCACGAAAGCGUGGGGAUCAAACAGG